UGCGUUCAUAAACUUUGAAUUUUGCUUAGCAUUUGUAAUAUGUUUCAAUCUUUAUCACUUAUCAUAUUUACCUUUACAAGUUUAAUAUGUGUUUGAAAUAAUAAAUGGUUUGCAUAUUGUUUUCUUUUUUAGCUCACCUGGCCCGAAGUACCAAGUGAGCUUUUCUCAUCACUUUGCGUCCGUCGUCCGUCGUUCGUCGUUAGCUUUUACAAAAAUCUUCUCCUCUGAAACUACUGGGCCAAAUUUAACCAAACUUGGCCACAAUCAUCAUUGGGGUAUCUAGUUUAAAAAUGUGUGGCGUGACCCGGCCAACCAACCAAGAUGGCCGACAUGGCUAAAAAUAGAACAUAGGUGUAAAAUGUAGAUUUUUGCUUAUAACUCUGACACCAAAGCAUUUAGAGCAAAUCUGGUAAAAUUGUUUAUCAGGGAAAGAUAUAUCUGCAUUUCAUUUUCAGACGAAUCUGACAACCGGUUGCUGGGUUGCUGCCCCUGAAUUGGCAAUUUUAAGGAAAUUAUACCGUUUUGUGGCUAUUAUCUUGAAUAUUAUUAUAGAUAGAGAUAAACUGCAAACAGCAAUAAUGUUCAGCAAAGUAAGAUCUACAAAUCAGUUAAUAUGACUAAAAUGGUCAGUUGACCCCUUAAUGAGUUUUUGCACUUUAUAGUCAUUUUUUAUUAUCUUAUCUUUUACAAAAAUCUUCUCCUCUAAAUCUACUGGUCCAAAUUUAACCAUACUUGGUCAUAAUCAUCAUUGAUGUAUCUAGUUUAAAAAUGUGUGUGUUUACCCUGUCACCCAACCAAGAUGGCCGCCAUGGCUAAAAAAGAACAUAAGGGUAAAAUGUAGAUUUUGGCUUAUAACUCUGAAACCAAAGCAUUAAGAGCAAUUCAGACAUGGGUUAAAUUGUUUUGCAAGUCAAGAUCUGUCUGCCCUGAAAUUUUCAGAUGAAUCCGACAACUGGUUGUUUGGUUGCUGCCCCUGAAUUGGAAAUUUUUAAGGAAAUUUUGCUGUUUUUGGUUAUUAUCUUGAAUAAUAUUAUAGAUAAAGAUAAACUGUAAACAGCAAUAAUGUUCAGCAAAGUAAGAUCCACAAAUAAGUCAACAUGAACAAAAAAGGUCAGGAGUUAUUGCCCUUUAUAGUCAAUUUUUAAUAAUUUUGUAAAUUUUGUAAAUUUUUCUAAAUUUUAACAAAAUAUUUUCCUCUGUAACUAAUGGGCCAAGUUCAUUAUAAAUUGAGAUAAUUGUAAGAAGCAAGAAUGUUCAGUAAAGUCAGAUCAACAAACUUAUCACCAUCACCAAAAC
rnacentral:lncRNA from 1 species